rnacentral:rRNA from 1 species
AGAGUUUGAUCCUGGCUCAGGAUGAACGCUAGCUACAGGCUUAACACAUGCAAGUCGAGGGGAAACGACAUUGAAAGCUUGCUUUUAAUGGGCGUCGACCGGCGCACGGGUGCGUAACGCGUAUCGAACCUGCCCUUUACUCAGGGAUAGCCUUGCGAAAGUAAGAUUAAUACCUGAUGGUGUUGUGGAAAGACAUCUUUUUGCAACUAAAGAUUUAUUGGUAAAGGAUGGCGAUGCGUCUGAUUAGGUAGUAGGUGGGGUAACGGCUCACCUAGCCGACGAUCAGUAGGGGUUCUGAGAGGAAGGUCCCCCACAUUGGAACUGAGACACGGUCCAAACUCCUACGGGAGGCAGCAGUGAGGAAUAUUGGUCAAUGGGCGAGAGCCUGAACCAGCCAAGUAGCGUGCAGGAAGACGGCCCUCUGGGUUGUAAGCUGCUUUUAGUUGGGAACAAAAAAGGCGACGCGUCGCCUCUGGAGUGUACCAUCAGAAAAAGGACCGGCUAAUUCCGUGCCAGCAGCCGCGGUAAUACGGAAGGUCCGGGCGUUAUCCGGAUUUAUUGGGUUUAAAGGGAGCGUAGGCGGACGAUUAAGUCAGCUGUGAAAGUUUGCGGCUCAACCGUAAAAUUGCAGUUGAAACUGGUUGUCUUGAGUGCACGCAGGGAUGUUGGAAUUCAUGGUGUAGCGGUGAAAUGCUUAGAUAUUAUGAAGAACUCCGAUCGCGCAGGCAUAUGUCCGGAGUGCAACUGACGCUGAGGCUCGAAAGUGCGGGUAUCGAACAGGAUUAGAUACCCUGGUAGUCCGCACGGUAAACGAUGGAUGCCCGCUGUCGGCGCCUUGCGCCGGCGGCCAAGCGAAAGCGUUAAGCAUCCCACCUGGGGGAGUACGCCGGCAAACGGUGAAACUCAAAGGAAUUGACGGGGGCCCGCACAAGCGGAGGAACAUGUGGUUUAAUUCGAUGAUACCCGAGGAACCUUACCCGGGCUUUGAA